GUAUGCUCAGUGGUAGAGCACUUUCCUAGCAUACAUGAGGUCCUGGGUUCAAUCCCCAGUAAAACA
rnacentral:tRNA from 1 species